rnacentral:rRNA from 1 species
CAGCAGCCGCGGGAAAACAGAGGGUGCGAGCGUUAAUCGGAUUUACUGGGCGUAAAGCGUGCGUAGGCGGCUUCUUAAGUCGGAUGUGAAAUCCCUGAGCUUAACUUAGGAAUUGCAUUCGAUACUGGGAAGCUAGAGUAUGGGAGAGGAUGGUAGAAUUCCAGGUGUAGCGGUGAAAUGCGUAGAGAUCUGGAGGAAUACCGAUGGCGAAGGCAGCCAUCUGGCCUAAUACUGACGCUGAGGUACGAAAGCAUGGGGAGCAAACAGGAUUAGAUACCCCAGUAGUCCCUGUCUCUUAUAA